AAAAAAUUAGUUAAACCAUAACAUUGAUAUGUCAAAUCAAAAUUAUUUAAUUUAAAUAUUUUUUA
rnacentral:tRNA from 1 species